UGGUGGCUGAGGCUCGAAAAACAAGAAAAACUCAUAUAGUGGGCUGUAUCACGAAGCAGGCAUAUAAGUGAUUUGUACGUGUUUUAGGAAGGAUAGGAACUGCCCGAGAAGAGAGGUUUUCAGGGAAGACUCGAUACAGGUGGCCUGGACUUGCGUUUUUCUGAUGAGGGAAGGACUGGAUGGAAACUAGGCAGAAGAAGAACGAUAGAACAGUGCUGGGAAUACGUGACAGAGGAGUGCAUAAUCCCAGGACAUGGCUUAAUAGAUGAGUACUCCGUGGAAGAUCAGAAAGAGGCCAGACCGAAAGGCACGCUGAUGAGAGAGAAAGCACCGAUCCCAAGACAAUAUGAGUUUUCCGCAAAUACAUGGUGGGGGAGAGGGCGGAAGCAAACUGAAGACCAGAGGCAGCAUGUCACAGGAGACAGGCCCCUGAAGGUAGAGAUAUGAGUUCUUUUUCCAGUUCUGUCAAUUGAUGAUGUACAUCAGUUUUCAUCCUUCUGCUUGCUUCUCCUUUCCUUUUCUUUCUGGCUUGUAAAUAUCAAGGAUGAGUAUUCCUAGGGAAUAACUCUUAUGGCACGUUGGUAAAUUAUCACAAGAUCAGGAUCCGUUUGCUUUGUAACUAUCCUUCCUUUGGGAUAACAGUGGACCAGCACAAUUCCUACCGAAGGCACAACACUGCUUUUUGUUUUCAAGGUCCAGUGUUCUUUGCUGCCUGACAAAAUCCUGCCUACACUGACUCAAAGUGAUUUUUUUUCAAGCGCUCGGUGGCUUCAUUCCUAUGUGAGGGCAAGAUAAUUUCUGAGGUGUGCAAAGGCGUUGCUUGGGGUGCUACGUGGCACGGUGCAGCCUCUCGAUGCGCUCGCUCUCGCUUUCUCCCCACUGGUGAAAACCCCCUGCGGGCGCAGAGAAGCAGGUAAAGGGACGCGUGUGGCAGAGAACAUGGGCACCGUCUCCGUCCUUCGCGGCAGCCUGCCACCCAGGGUAUAGGUGACCCAGGGGACCCCAGGCCUCGUCCCGGUAGCGCAGAUGCCACAGGGAGGCGCCUCGGUGAAACGCCGAGGGGGCUGUAACCCUGCCAGGAGUUGCGCAUGCGCUCGAGCCUC
rnacentral:lncRNA from 1 species